rnacentral:rRNA from 1 species
UCGCCGAAGGAGGGGUUUGCGUCUGAUUAGCUGGUUGGAGGGUAACGGCCCAACAAGGCGAUGAUCAGUAGCCGGUCUGAGAGGACGAACGGCCACAUUGGGACUGAGACACGGCCCAGACUCCUACGGGAGGCAGCAGUGGGGAAUCUUCCGCAAUGGACGAAAGUCUGACGGAGCAACGCCGCGUGAGUGAAGAAGGUCUUCGGAUUGUAAAGCUCUGUUAUACGGGACGAAAAAGACGGAUGCCAACAGUAUCCGUCCGUGACGGUACCGUAAGAGAAAGCCACGGCUAACUACGUGCCAGCAGCCGCGGUAAAU